rnacentral:rRNA from 1 species
GAUGAACGCUGACAGAAUGCUUAACACAUGCAAGUCAACUUGAACUUCGGUUUGGGUGGCGGACGGGUGAGUAACGCGUAAGGAACUUGCCUCACAGAUAGGGACAACAUUUGGAAACGAAUGCUAAUACCUGAUAUUAUGAUUAUAUGGCAUCGUAUAAUUAUGAAAGCUAUAUGCGCUGUGAGAGAGCUUUGCGUCCCAUUAGCUAGUUGGAGAGGUAACGGGUCACGAAGGCGAUGAUGGGUAGCCGGCCUGAGAGGGUGAUCGGCCACAGGGGGACUGAGACAGGGCCCGUACUCCUACGGGGGGCAGCAGUGGGAAAUAUUGGACAAUGGACCAAGAGUCUGAUGCAGCAAUUCUGUGUGCACGAUGAAGUUUUUCGGAAUGUAAAGUGCUUUCAGUUGGGAAGAAAAAAAUGACGGUACCAACAGAAGAAGUGACGGCUAACUACGUG